GACGAACGCUGGCGGCGUGCCUAAUACAUGCAAGUUGAACGCUUGAUUUUCACCGAAGCUUGCUUCACCGAAAAUCAAGAGUAGCGAACGGGUGAGUAACGCGUGGGUAACCUACCUAUCAGCGGGGGGAUAACUAUUGGAAACGAUAGCUAAUACCGCAUAACAAUGUUGGAUGCAUAUUCGACAUUUGAAAGUACCAACUGGUACACUGAGAGAUGGACCCGCGUUGUAUUAGCUAGUUGGUAGUGUAAUGGACUACCAAGGCGAUGAUACAUAGCCGCCCUGAGAGGGUGAUCGGCCACAUUGGGACUGAGACACGGCCCAAACUCCUACGGGAGGCAGCAGUAGGGAAUCUUCGGCAAUGGACGAAAGUCUGACCGAGCAACGCCGCGUGAGUGAAGAAGGUUUUCGGAUCGUAAAACUCUGUUGUUAGAGAAGAACGUUGCAUAGAGUGGAAAAUUAUGCAAGUGACGGUAUCUAACCAGAAAGGGACGGCUAACUACGUGCCAGCAGCCGCGGUAAUACGUAGGUCCCGAGCGUUGUCCGGAUUUAUUGGGCGUAAAGCGAGCGCAGGUGGUUUAAUAAGUCUGAUGUAAAAGGCAGUGGCUCAACCAUUGUGUGCAUUGGAAACUGUUAGACUUGAGUGCAGUAGAGGAGAGUGGAAUUCCAUGUGUAGCGGUGAAAUGCGUAGAUAUAUGGAGGAACACCGGUGGCGAAAGCGGCUCUCUGGACUGUCACUGACACUGAGGCUCGAAAGCGUGGGUAGCAAACA
rnacentral:rRNA from 1 species